rnacentral:rRNA from 1 species
UACGAAGGGGGCUAGCGUUGUUCGGAAUUACUGGGCGUAAAGGGCGCGUAGGCGGUACUUCAAGUCAGGCGUGAAAGCCCCGGGCUCAACCUGGGAACCGCGCUUGAGACUGGAGAACUAGAGUUCGGGAGAGGAUGAUGGAAUUCCCAGUGUAGAGGUGAAAUUCGUAGAUAUUGGGAAGAACACCGAUGGCGAAGGCAGCCAUCUGGACCGACACUGACGCUGAGGCGCGAAAGCUAGGGGAGCAAAACGGG